rnacentral:rRNA from 1 species
GAGCUUGGCGGUGUUUUAGACCUCUCAGGGGAACCUGUCUCAUAAUCGACAAUCCACGUUAGACCUGACCCUUUAUAGCAAUUCAGCCUGUAUACCGUCGUCGUCAGGUAACUUCUUAAAAUAUAGUAGUUAGCCCGAUAAUUUUAUUAAUUAAUACGUCAGAUCAAGGUGCAGCUAAUAAAAGGGAGAGGAUGGGUUACAAUUAUAGAUUUAUAAUUACGAAGGAUAUUUAGAAAUAAAAUAUUUAAAGGAGGACUUGAAAGUAAUUUUGAUUAUAUAAGUAAAAUGAAUAAGGCUCUGAAACGUGCACACAUCGCCCGUCGCUCUCGUUGAAAAAUGAGAUAAGUCGUAACAUAGUAGGGGUAAUGGAAAUUGUUCCUAAGC